UUUUAUAUCACAUGAAGUAACAAUAGACAAUGCACAUAGACCCGAGCCUGAUGGAACAGAGGAAAGGACAAAACAAAACCCCAAUCAACAACCAGACAUGGACAGAGAUUGCACAAGCGCCUCAUCACUACUGUCAACAAGAGAGCCAAACAAGAAGCCAAUAGGAGCCAAUUAUAGUCCCACAAGAAUGACAGAGUAAACAAAAAACGUGAAUGAAGCUUCAGCUCUGAGACAUGUUACCAAGAGAACCUACAACCUACUACAUAUAUCUAGCUGAAGCCAACGGAGUCACC
rnacentral:lncRNA from 1 species